CUUGAUCAAUUAUAAGAGGUCAAGCCUGCCCAGUGACAUUGUUCAACGGCCGCGGUAUCCUAACCGUGCGAAGGUAGCGUAAUCACUUGUCCUUUAAAUAAGGACUAGUAUGAACGGCUUCACGAAGGCUAUACUGUCUCCUUAAUCUAAUCAAUUAAACUAAUCUCCCCGUGAAGAAGCGGGGAUUCGUCUAUAAGACGAGAAGACCCUAUGGAGCUUUAAACAUCUAAGACACUUGAUUAUACCCACUAAACUUCAUGCAACCUAUCAUUUUGUCUUAAGUUUUAGGUUGGGGUGACCACGGAGAAAAAUUAAACCUCCACGUAGAAAGAAAAUUCUUUUCUAAGCAAAAAGCCACAUCUUAACGCAUCAAUAUAUUGACUUAAAUUGACCCA
rnacentral:rRNA from 1 species